CAGGUUGAAGGAUUGAUGUGUUAACUAGCGGAGGUUGCAGAGAGAGAGAGAGAGAGAGAGAAUGGAGAAGAAGAUGACUUUGGUUCAGACUAUUGCCACUGCUGGCGUCUUCUCUGCGAUUUCAUUCUGGUAUGGGUUCAUGUUUGGUAGAGAGUCAUCGCGCAAAGAACUCUCUCAGCUGAUCGAAGAUCUCCGUCACGGCGGCGAAAACACUCCACCUCCCUCCCAUUCUUGAUUGAGCUAUCUCUUUCUUUCAAAUCGUUACAGUGUAUGUCUCUUCCAAAUUUCCCCCUAACAUUUUUGUAACUAGCGUUGAUUCUCAACUCUUUAGCUUGUUCUAAGUGCACCAAACAACACAGUAUUGCAGCUUCCUUAUAUUAUUACCGUUAUGAAUUAUCUCUAUUAGAGAGAAUCAGGUAAAAGCUCCCUUGCCUUAGUCAUAGUUUGAUACGGUUGUUUGCUUAAUGCUUCAACUACUUUGCUUGCUAAUGUUGGUUUUCAAUUUUCAUGGAAUCACUUAGUGAA